rnacentral:rRNA from 1 species
UACAGAGGUCCCAAGCGUUGUUCGGAUUCAUUGGGCGUAAAGGGUGCGUAGGCGGCGCGGUAAGUCGGGUGUGAAAUCUCGGAGCUUAACUCCGAAACUGCAUUCGAUACUGCCGUGCUUGAGGACUGGAGAGGAGACUGGAAUUUACGGUGUAGCGGUGAAAUGCGUAGAUAUCGAGAGGAACACCAGUGGCGAAGGCGAGUCUCUGGACGACACCUGACGCUGAUGCGCGACAGCGUGGGGAGCAAACAGG